rnacentral:rRNA from 1 species
AUGUCUUCAUCCUCCGGCGCCUCACCUAGCCUCAAUGGCCAGGUCACCGAGAAGAUCAAUCACAUGAACUACGUGCUAUGGCGCACACAGGUCACACCCCACCUGCGGGGCGCCGGUGUCUUCGGCUACGUCGAUGGCACCACGUCGUAGCCGGCCAGACUCCACGUCAUGAAAGACAUGGACGGCAAGGAGACUUCUGCGCCCAACCCUCUCCACCCACUUUGGGUUCGGGAGGACCAAUAGGUGCUUGGCUAUUUGCUGAGUACCCUCUCCAAGGAGGUGCUGGUUGCGGUCACCGCGAUC